AGCUGGCGUGGCAUAACGGUUGGAGGAGUGUUGGACUAUGACUCCGGAGAGCAGGGUUCGAAUCCCAGCUCGGCCA